GCUCCGGGCCCGGAAUUUGCCCCCCCGCGUAGAGGGCUGAGGCGCGCGCGUGUCCUCGGUUCUCUCCUAGAGUUUCCACCUGCUAAGACUCCUUAAUGACUGACCAAAACUGAGACUGGACUGUGAGCACCUGAGGGCUUUCCUGUGGAGCUCGGAGGGGAGUGGCGCAAAGGACUUUUCUUACAAGCCGAGGAUUUGAAGAUCAAAUGAAGGAAGAGAAUGAUUAUAGAGUGCAUAGUUUGUCUACUAUGAAAUAAUGAUGCUGGAAGAACACCAUCCUCCCCCUCCGGGGGAGGCAGACGCUGUUCCAAGAGCGGGAGGUGGAAACGCUCCAGUGGGAAGCCCGCCCUUUACCAGACAAAGGGCUCAGAGGGAGCAAUCUGCCUCUGCCGCCAACUCCACUAUUCUGCCCCUGCGAGCCACUGGACUCCCAGACGCAGAGGGGAAUCAGCCCCAUCACUAUUGGCCUUUCGCCACUAGUGACCUCUACAAUUGGAAAGCUCAGAAUCCUAAGUUAUCUGAGAAACCGGCAGGGCUUGUUGAUUUAUUAGACUCUGUUCUUUUUACC